rnacentral:rRNA from 1 species
GACGAACGCUGGCGGCGUGCUUAACACAUGCAAGUCGAACGGAAAGGCCCUGCUUUUGUGGGGUGCUCGAGUGGCGAACGGGUGAGUAACACGUGAGUAACCUGCCCUUGACUUUGGGAUAACUUCAGGAAACUGGGGCUAAUACCGGAUAGGAGCUCCUGCUGCAUGGUGGGGGUUGGAAAGUUUCGGCGGUUGGGGAUGGACUCGCGGCUUAUCAGCUUGUUGGUGGGGUAGUGGCUUACCAAGGCUUUGACGGGUAGCCGGCCUGAGAGGGUGACCGGCCACAUUGGGACUGAGUUACGGCCCAGACUCCUACGGGAGGCAGCAGUGGGGAAUAUUGCACAAUGGGCGGAAGCCUGAUGCAGCAACGCCGCGUGCGGGAUGACGGCCUUCGGGUUGUAACCCGCUUUCGCCUGUGACGAAGCGUGAGUGACGGUAAUGGGUAAAGAAGCACCGGCUAACUACGUG